rnacentral:misc_RNA from 1 species
UUCUACGAACUCGCAUCCAAUUGAUAAAACCACGAUCUGUUUCUUUUUUCAAAUAAUUUCAGUGGCUUCAUAGUAAAAGACGGUUCAUAGUAAAAGAAACGAUAUUUUUGAGCGACAUAUGGUUUGUUCGAAAAAAAAAGUCGUGAAAUUAGGCCGAGGAUAUCGUGGCUGGGACGCAGACUAAAAGUACGGAAAAUCCAAUCGGUGAUUACCGCACGAUCUAUGGUAGAGCUAAAUUGCCUUUUAGAAUUAGCCUCGAUCCAUCGAGGAUUCGCGUAAUUCUCGGCAUAAAUAGUAUUUACAAUUUUAAAUUCAUUUAUUUCAAAUACUAUUUGAUCGCUCGUCAAACAUGCUUACGUUUACACGCAUCGUUCCAUGGCAUUUUAGUCUUUUGUUUUACGCAGUUGCACGUGGUAGCGGGUAAAAAGAAGCGUGGAAGAAGGUAUACGAUAUAAAUACAGUGAUAAUCUCACGUGGGUAUUCCUGCCGUCUCGCGAAAAAGUUCUUUUUUUGCUACCGCUUGUAUUCUUCCUUGCACUUAUACAAACACGCAUAUCUACGCUUAAUUUAUUCAUUUAUUCGCUUCCUGUUCGUAUAGAAUUAUAUAGCUAUCGUUUAAUAUCAUCGUUAUCAUCGUAAAUAUUAUGUACAAAGGAGAACUUUCACGUGCUUGCAUGGAGAUUCUGCUCUGCCGAUGGUUUUCUCGCGAUUAUCGAGAUUCCUCCUCGGAGAAAUAC